CCUACGGGAGGCAGCAGUGAGGAAUAUUGGUCAAUGGCCGCGAGGCUGAACCAGCCAAGUCGCGUGAAGGAUGAAUGUCCUAAGGGUUGUAAACCUCUUUUAUCAGGGAGCAAAGAGACUCUGCGGAGUCGUAUUGAGAGUACCCGAAGAAAAAGCAUCGGCUAACUCCGUGCCAGCAGCCGCGGUAAUACGGAGGAUGCGAGCGUUAUCCGGAUUUAUUGGGUUUAAGGGGGGCGAAGGGGGCGGGUAAAGCAAGCGUUAAAAUAGGGGGGCUAAACCUCAGAUUGCAGUUUGUACUGGCGGGCUUGAGUACAGGCGAGGUAGGCGGAAUUCGUGGUGUAGCGGUGAAAUGCAUAGAUAUCACGAAGAAAUCCGAUUGCGAAGGCAGCUUACCAGUCUGCGACUGACGCUGAGGCACGAAAGUGUGGGUAUCGAACAGGAUUAGAUACCCCAGUAGUC
rnacentral:rRNA from 1 species